GGUAGCUCAGUCAGUCGAGCGUGGCGCUAAGAACGCGAAGGUCGCGGGUUCGAUUCCUGUUC
rfam:Apaloderma vittatum contig83553, whole genome shotgun sequence.